rnacentral:rRNA from 1 species
UACGGAGGGUGCAAGCGUUAUCCGGAUUCACUGGGCGUAAAGGGUGCGCAGGUGGGUUGGCAAGUUUGAUGUGAAAGCCCCGGGCUUAACCCGGGAAUGGCAUUGAAUACUGCUGAUCUGGAGGAUCGGAGGGGGGACUGGAAUUCUUGGUGUAGCAGUGAAAUGCGUAGAUAUCAAGAGGAACACCAGUGGCGAAGGCGAGUCCCUGGACGAUACCUGACACUGAGGCACGAAAGCCGGGGGAGCAAACAGG